ncrna:Bombyx mori (domestic silkworm) microRNA bmo-mir-2733f precursor
UCUAUAAAAGACAGUUAUUACUAACUCGGUAGACACGUCACUGUGUCACUGGGUAUGUAAUGACAGUCGUUGAUAGA